AGGCUUCUUAGGUCGGCUAGCCCAGGUCCUGGGGAUUCUGUGGAGGAAGAAUCAAAGGAGAAAGAAUCAGAAAAUUUUGUGGAAGAAUCGAAGGCUGCUUGGCGGUUAAGGAAUUUCCUUAAACACUGCGGAAACACUUCCGGGCUCCCUCUCCGUUAACCCUGCCCGUUUCCGGCGCGUGGUUCUUCCCUGUAUGGCCAUCCUCCCAUCUGACUGCUCCUUAGUCUCUUGCUGCAUGUCUCAGGUUUAGGGAAGUGUCUGGUGGCACAGGUGUGAUUCCCCUCAUUACGGCGGCACCGUGGAAGUGCAGACUUUCACAGGGGGUGUGGUCUCAGCUCACACAGGUGAGGGUACAGAUGCCGUUUUGUGUACUGAUGCUAGUGGGCAAAAAUAUAAGAAUGAGACUAAUUAUAGGUCAAUACUUGUGGAGUUUUGCCUUGAAGAGCUACAGUGAUACCUUGGUUGUUGAACUCAGUUUGUUCUAAAUUCGUGUUUGAACUCUGAAAAGUUCAAGAGCUGAACAUACUUUUCCCAUAUGAAUUAAUGAGAAACCAAAUGAUUGGUUCUGAGGCCCAAAAAUUACACUUAUAAAUUCAUUUUUCCAGGACCUUAACAGAUUUUGCAGUGGUUUAUUUUUUUUUUUUUUUUUUGGUACUGGGGAUUGAACUUGGGUCCUUGCGCUUGCGUAGGCAGCAAAACCACUGAGCUAAAUCACCGGCCCAGUGAUUUAUUUCUUUAACUCUGUAGUGGUUCUCACAGUUUUCCUUAGCUUUUCUAGGGGUAUCACUAACUUUCUUUGGAGCCAUGGUUACAGUAUUUUACACAAAGCACAAAAAAAAGCACAGUGACAAAUGUUUUAAUGAACAGAAGUUCUGUAUGUCCUGUAGGUGAGAGUGAAGUGUCAUCCCUUUGUGUAUGCAGCAAGACAUGGUGUGUGACUGACCCAGUCUCAGCCUGUAUAGGAUUUUUUUUUUUGUACCAGGGAUUGAACUCAGGACCUUGCGCUUGCGCAGCAGGCACCGGCACCACUGAGCUAAAUCCCCGGCCCCUGUAUGGGUUUAAGUCAGAUUUUUGGUUUGACUAUCAAGCAAAGUUAGGAUCACUGGACAGAUUUUUUUUGAACUUUGCUGUUUUAAGUAGUGAAGAGUUCCAUCUUGGAGCUGUUCAACAGCUCAGCUGUUCUACAACCUUAUAGGAAUAUCUGUAUGUGAUUUUCUCUUGGAGGGUUUGAUGCUGUGGAUGGAGGAAGAUAGGGUCACCUUCGUUUGACCAGGAAGAGUAACAGGUUCUCUAUGGCCGGACAUGGUGAUAUAUAUCUGUAAUCCCAGCACUCGGGAGGCUGAGGUGGGAAGAUUACUGCAAGUUCGAGUCCAGCCUGGGUUACAUAGCAAGACUGUCUUUAAAAAAAACCAAACAAAAAAUCAAGUUUUCUAUGGUUUUGGUGUGAUACAACUUGGCUCUAAGUUCUGCUACUUCCUUUUUGUGUGACCUUAUUCAAAUCUUUUAGUCUCUCUGCCCUCAUUUCCUAACUUAAGAAGUAGACAUACCAAAGAAAAGAAGUAGACAUAGCUGGAUGUUGUGGCACACGAUUGUAAUCCCUUCACAUAAAAUUGUUUGGUUUUUUUGGUUUGUUUUUUUGGUACUGGGGGUUGAACUCGGGACCUUGCACUUGCAAGGCAGGCAGCAGAACCACUGAGCUAAAUCCCCAGCCCCCUUCGCAUACAAUUGUAUUCAAUUGUAAUUCCCUUUGGGAGGCUGAGACAGGAGAAAAAGAGG
rnacentral:lncRNA from 1 species